rnacentral:rRNA from 1 species
UACGAAGGGGGGCGAGCGUUUGUUCGGAUUUACUGGGCGUAAAGGGCGCGCAGGCGGCGCAUUUUGUCAGGCGUGAAAGCCCCGGGCUUAACCUGGGAACUGCGUUUGAUACGGAUGGGCUAGAGUUCGGGAGAGGAGAGUGGAAUUCCCAGUGUAGAGGUGAAAUUCGUAGAUAUUCGCAAGAACACCAGUGGCGAAGGCGGCUCACUGGCCCGGUACUGACGCUGAGGUGCGAAAGCGUGGGGGAGCAAACAGG